AUGAAAAAAAAAAAAAAAUCAUAACACCAAAUUGAUUCAAUGGUUCAAGAUUUGUUCAAAGAAAUUAAAAUUUGCAAUAAUAAUAUUAUAACAAGAGUGUCAAUUAAAAGACUAUCAAAACCAGAAAUUCCAAUCACACAACCACUGAAGGUCAAGGAGAACAUGCUAAACCACUCAUGAAAAUGCACACACAUACACUGAGCUGGCCAAGUUCUGUGUUGUUUUAACAAAAUAAGGAUAUAUAAUCCAGUUUAAUAUAUAAUAUCUCCUCAAAUAACAAAAGCAUUAUCCUCCCUAUAGCCUAAAUUGUAACAAGUUUCAUGCACCAGAACACCUUUUUAUGCAACAUCAGCUACAUAUCUAGCUUGUGCACCUUAUUUCGAUCUACAUCUAUCUUGACUAAUUUGGGAUUCCCAUUUUCUAAAUUUGAAUCUAAGUUUCUGCACCCUAUGCCACUCCAACCCAAGUUGGCUCACAUUUUGGGACUUCAGGGACAUUGGAGUCAGCAACAUAAAAAUAAAUAAAUAAAUUAAUUAAUAAAUAAUUAUAACUAUUAUUAUUUAUUAUUAACAUUAUAAAUAAAU
rnacentral:misc_RNA from 1 species